AAUUGUAAAUAUGUUUAUCUUAAGCAAUAAUCUUGUAAACUAUUUUACUAUGUAGGAGUACUGGAGGUCAGAUUAAAAGUCUUGCUAAAUCGGCUCACAAAGUUGAAUGUCAAGCUAACGAUCUUGUGGAGGAUUUGCGAGAAAUUCCCGGUCGAGAAGCUUUGCGACUGAGAGGAGAGGUUGCCAAUAUGGCGUCAACUCUAAAAGACGAGAGGUUUGCUAUGAACAAAAGGAUAAUGAAAAUAUCCGAAUUAGGUAUUCGCCUAUGAAUCGUAUCGCCACUGUGUUGCUAAAUUACCUCAACGUUUGGACCCACCGAGAUUCUCUCAUGGUUACUCUGCAUCACUCUGUUUUGGAGAAUGAAAAUGAUGCUUCAUAGCUUGCAAGGUUUGAGUUUGUUUUGAUUGAUAUUUAGUGCUGUUAAUAAUGGCAUGCUGAUUAUACAAUCAGUCUUUCUUAAUGGCCAAAUCCAAAACAAUUAUAUGAUGCUACUUUUUGCUAUUAUUGUUAUAGAGUUAAAAACUUUACUACU